GCUCGAGUGGAGUGAUUUGGUUUGGUUGAUAAAGCUCGUCUUGUUCAUCAUCUAAAAGAAUAAUAAAAUCGUUCAAGUUAGAUUCAAAAACGUCGCCAGCUCAAAAGUUUUGCUGCUAUUCAAUUCACUUCCUUAGAAAUCAUUGUGUUUAUCCUUAAUUACGUUAGCACAUUCUUCGACCCUGCAAAUUCCACGUUAACGCGUGGCAAAAUACAAGUGACUUUGAAUGUCUUCAUGAACUCAACUCCCUACAAGCCUUUGUCAUGAAAUUUUUUCUACUCCAGAUGAAAUUGCAAUAUUAGAAAUGAAAUACUCCGGCGAUUUAAAACGUUUAUUUGGCUUCAGAAAAACGUUAGUGAUCACUAAUUGUAUAAUUGUAUCAUAACAUUGACUUGCAUGUUUUGUAAACAAAACUAACGAGAAGUACAUAUAAAUUUAUGUAAUAUGUAGAAAAUAGGCUAUUGAAGACUUACAAUUAAAAAUGACACUUUUUUCAUCUGUAGAAGACAAUGUGUUUGUCGCAUCAUAAUCAAAAUACAAACCAACAAGGAUAAUACAAACCACGGCAAUAAGUA